GGGUUGUGAGGUUAAGCGACUAAGCGUACACGGUGGAUGCCCUGGCAGUCAGAGGCGAUGAAGGGCGUGCUAAUCUGCGAUAAGCGCCGGUAAGGUGAUAUGAACCGUUAUAACCGGCGAUACCCGAAUGGGGAAACCCAGUGUGAUUCGUCACACUAUCAUUAACUGAAUCCAUAGGUUAAUGAGGCGAACCGGGGGAACUGAAACAUCUAAGUACCCCGAGGAAAAGAAAUCAACCGAGAUUCCCCCAGUAGCGGCGAGCGAACGGGGAGGAGCCCAGAGCCUGAAUCAGCAUGUGUGUUAGUGGAAGCGUCUGGAAAGGCGCGCGAUACAGGGUGACAGCCCCGUACACAAAAGCGCAUGUGCUGUGAGCUCGAUGAGUAGGGCGGGACACGUGGUAUCCUGUCUGAAUAUGGGGGGACCAUCCUCCAAGGCUAAAUACUCCUGACUGACCGAUAGUGAACCAGUACCGUGAGGGAAAGGCGAAAAGAACCCCGGCGAGGGGAGUGAAAAAGAACCUGAAACCGUGUACGUACAAGCAGUGGGAGCACAGGUUUACCUGUGUGACUGCGUACCUUUUGUAUAAUGGGUCAGCGACUUAUAUUCUGUAGCAAGGUUAACCGUAUAGGGGAGCCGGAGGGAAACCGAGUCUUAACCGGGCGUUAAGUUGCAGGGUAUAGACCCGAAACCCGGUGAUCUAGCCAUGGGCAGGUUGAAGGUUGGGUAACACUAACUGGAGGACCGAACCGACUAAUGUUGAAAAAUUAGCGGAUGACCUGUGGCUGGGGGUGAAAGGCCAAUCAAACCGGGAGAUAGCUGGUUCUCCCCGAAAGCUAUUUAGGUAGCGCCUCGUGAAUUCAUCUCCGGGGGUAGAGCACUGUUUCGGCUAGGGGGCCAUCCCGGCUUACCAACCCGAUGCAAACUGCGAAUACCGGAGAAUGUUAUCACGGGAGACACACGGCGGGUGCUAACGUCCGUCGUGAAGAGGGAAACAACCCAGACCGCCAGCUAAGGUCCCAAAGUCAUGGUUAAGUGGGAAACGAUGUGGGAAGGCCCAGACAGCCAGGAUGUUGGCUUAGAAGCAGCCAUCAUUUAAAGAAAGCGUAAUAGCUCACUGGUCGAGUCGGCCUGCGCGGAAGAUGUAACGGGGCUAAACCAUGCACCGAAGCUGCGGCAGCGACGCUGAUGCGUUGUUGGGUAGGGGAGCGUUCUGUAAGCCUGCGAAGGUGGCCUGUGAGGGUUGCUGGAGGUAUCAGAAGUGCGAAUGCUGACAUAAGUAACGAUAAAGCGGGUGAAAAGCCCGCUCGCCGGAAGACCAAGGGUUCCUGUCCAACGUUAAUCGGGGCAGGGUGAGUCGACCCCUAAGGCGAGGCCGAAAGGCGUAGUCGAUGGGAAACGGGUUAAUAUUCCCGUACUUGGUGUUACUGCGAAGGGGGGACGGAGAAGGCUAUGUUGGCCGGGCGACGGUUGUCCCGGUUUAAGCGUGUAGGUGUGUGUUCCAGGUAAAUCCGGUUCACUUUAACACUGAGGCGUGACGACGAGGCACUACGGUGCUGAAGCAACAAAUGCCCUGCUUCCAGGAAAAGCCUCUAAGCAUCAGGUAACAUCAAAUCGUACCCCAAACCGACACAGGUGGUCAGGUAGAGAAUACCAAGGCGCUUGAGAGAACUCGGGUGAAGGAACUAGGCAAAAUGGUGCCGUAACUUCGGGAGAAGGCACGCUGACAUGUAGGUGAAGUGAUUUACUCAUGGAGCUGAAGUCAGUCGAAGAUACCAGCUGGCUGCAACUGUUUAUUAAAAACACAGCACUGUGCAAACACGAAAGUGGACGUAUACGGUGUGACGCCUGCCCGGUGCCGGAAGGUUAAUUGAUGGGGUCAGCGCAAGCGAAGCUCCUGAUCGAAGCCCCGGUAAACGGCGGCCGUAACUAUAACGGUCCUAAGGUAGCGAAAUUCCUUGUCGGGUAAGUUCCGACCUGCACGAAUGGCGUAAUGAUGGCCAGGCUGUCUCCACCCGAGACUCAGUGAAAUUGAACUCGCUGUGAAGAUGCAGUGUACCCGCGGCAAGACGGAAAGACCCCGUGAACCUUUACUAUAGCUUGACACUGAACAUUGAGCCUUGAUGUGUAGGAUAGGUGGGAGGCUUUGAAGUGUGGACGCCAGUCUGCAUGGAGCCGACCUUGAAAUACCACCCUUUAAUGUUUGAUGUUCUAACGUGGACCCGUUACCCGGGUUGCGGACAGUGUCUGGUGGGUAGUUUGACUGGGGCGGUCUCCUCCUAAAGAGUAACGGAGGAGCACGAAGGUUGGCUAAUCCUGGUCGGACAUCAGGAGGUUAGUGCAAUGGCAUAAGCCAGCUUGACUGCGAGCGUGACGGCGCGAGCAGGUGCGAAAGCAGGUCAUAGUGAUCCGGUGGUUCUGAAUGGAAGGGCCAUCGCUCAACGGAUAAAAGGUACUCCGGGGAUAACAGGCUGAUACCGCCCAAGAGUUCAUAUCGACGGCGGUGUUUGGCACCUCGAUGUCGGCUCAUCACAUCCUGGGGCUGAAGUAGGUCCCAAGGGUAUGGCUGUUCGCCAUUUAAAGUGGUACGCGAGCUGGGUUUAGAACGUCGUGAGACAGUUCGGUCCCUAUCUGCCGUGGGCGCUGGAGAACUGAGGGGGGCUGCUCCUAGUACGAGAGGACCGGAGUGGACGCAUCACUGGUGUUCGGGUUGUCAUGCCAAUGGCACUGCCCGGUAGCUAAAUGCGGAAGAGAUAAGUGCUGAAAGCAUCUAAGCACGAAACUUGCCCCGAGAUGAGUUCUCCCUGAGACUUAGAGUCUCCUGAAGGAACGUUGAAGACGACGACGUUGAUAGGCCGGGUGUGUAAGCGCAGCGAUGCGUUGAGCUAACCGGUACUAAUGAACCGUGAGGCUUAACCUUACAACGCCGAAG
rnacentral:rRNA from 1 species